GCAUGUGCUGUGAGCUCGAUGAGUAGGGCGGGACACGUGGUAUCCUGUCUGAAUAUGGGGGGACCAUCCUCCAAGGCUAAAUACUCCUGACUGACCGAUAGUGAACCAGUACCGUGAGGGAAAGGCGAAAAGAACCCCGGCGAGGGGAGUGAAAAAGAACCUGAAACCGUGUACGUACAAGCAGUGGGAGCACCCUUUGGGGUGUGACUGCGUACCUUUUGUAUAAUGGGUCAGCGACUUAUAUUCUGUAGCAAGGUUAACCGAAUAGGGGAGCCGGAGGGAAACCGAGUCUUAAUUGGGCGUUAAGUUGCAGGGUAUAGACCCGAAACCCGGUGAUCUAGCCAUGGGCAGGUUGAAGGUUGGGUAACACUAACUGGAGGACCGAACCGACUAAUGUUGAAAAAUUAGCGGAUGACCUGUGGCUGGGGGUGAAAGGCCAAUCAAACCGGGAGAUAGCUGGUUCUCCCCGAAAGCUAUUUAGGUAGCGCCUCGUGAAUUCAUCUCCGGGGGUAGAGCACUGUUUCGGCUAGGGGGCCAUCCCGGCUUACCAACCCGAUGCAAACUGCGAAUACCGGAGAAUGUUAUCACGGGAGACACACGGCGGGUGCUAACGUCCGUCGUGAAGAGGGAAACAACCCAGACCGCCAGCUAAGGUCCCAAAGUCAUGGUUAAGUGGGAAACGAUGUGGGAAGGCCCAGACAGCCAGGAUGUUGGCUUAGAAGCAGCCAUCAUUUAAAGAAAGCGUAAUAGCUCACUGGUCGAGUCGGCCUGCGCGGAAGAUGUAACGGGGCUAAACCAUGCACCGAAGCUGCGGCAGCGACGCUGAUGCGUUGUUGGGUAGGGGAGCGUUCUGUAAGCCUGUGAAGGUGGCCUGUGAGGGUUGCUGGAGGUAUCAGAAGUGCGAAUGCUGACAUAAGUAACGAUAAAGCGGGUGAAAAGCCCGCUCGCCGGAAGACCAAGGGUUCCUGUCCAACGUUAAUCGGGGCAGGGUGAGUCGACCCCUAAGGCGAGGCCGAAAGGCGUAGUCGAUGGGAAACGGGUUAAUAUUCCCGUACUUGGUGUUACUGCGAAGGGGGGACGGAGAAGGCUAUGUUGGCCGGGCGACGGUU
rnacentral:rRNA from 1 species